rnacentral:rRNA from 1 species
UACGGAGGGGGCUAGCGUUGUUCGGAAUUACUGGGCGUAAAGUGUGCGCAGGCGGCCGCGCAAGUCGAGUGUGAAAGCCCCGGGCUUAACUUGGGAAUUGCGCUCGAAACUACGUGGCUGGAGUGUGGCAGAGGAAGGUGGAAUUCCAGGUGUAGCGGUGAAAUGCGUAGAGAUCUGGAGGAACACCGAUGGCGAAGGCAGCCUUCUGGGCCAACACGUGACGCGUCAUGCACGAAAGCGUGGGGAGCAAACAGG